rnacentral:rRNA from 1 species
AGUGAACGCUGGCGGUAGGCCUAACACAUGCAAGUCGAACGGCAGCACAGUAAGAGCUUGCUCUUACGGGUGGCGAGUGGCGGACGUGUGAGGAAUACAUCGGAAUCUACUUUUUCGUGGGGGAUAACGUAGGGAAACUUACGCUAAUACCGCAUACGACCUACGGGUGAAAGCAGGGGAUCUUCUGACCUUGCGCGAUUGAAUGAGCCGAUGUCGGAUUAGCUAGUUGGCGGGGUAAAGGCCCACCAAGGCGACGAUCCGUAGCUGGUCUGAGAGGAUGAUCAGCCACACGGGAACUGAGACACGGUCAAGACUCCUACGGGAGGCAGCAGUGGGGAAUAUUGGACAAUGGGCGGAAGCCUGAUCCAGCCAUACCGCGUGGGUGAAGAAGACCUUCGGGUUGUAAAGCCCUUUUGUUGGGAAAGAAAAGCAGCAGGUUAAUACCCCGCUGUUCUGACGGUACCCAAAGAAUAAGCACCGGCUAACUUCGUG